ACACUCCUGCGGGAGGCAGCAGUGGGGAAUAUUGCACAAUGGGCGCAAGCCUGAUGCAGCCAUGCCGCGUGUAUGAAGAAGGCCUUCGGGUUGUAAAGUACUUUCAGCGGGGAGGAAGGCGAUAAGGUUAAUAACCUUGUCGAUUGACGUUACCCGCAGAAGAAGCACCGGCUAACUCCGUGCCAGCAGCCGCGGUAAUACGGAGGGUGCAAGCGUUAAUCGGAAUUACUGGGCGUAAAGCGCACGCAGGCGGUCUGUCAAGUCGGAUGUGAAAUCCCCGGGCUCAACCUGGGAACUGCAUUCGAAACUGGCAGGCUAGAGUCUUGUAGAGGGGGGUAGAAUUCCAGGUGUAGCGGUGAAAUGCGUAGAGAUCUGGAGGAAUACCGGUGGCGAAGGCGGCCCCCUGGACAAAGACUGACGCUCAGGUGCGAAAGCGUGGGGAGCAAACAGGAUUAGAUACCCAGUAGUCCCAUGA
rnacentral:rRNA from 1 species